UACGCUGGCGGCACGCCUAACACAUGCAAGUCGAACGAAGUAGCAAUACUUAGUGGCAGACGGGUGAGUAACAUGUAGGUAUCUGCCCUUUGGCCUGGAAUAACACGAGGAAACUUGUGCUAAUACCGGAUAAGUCUUUACGGAGAAAGCUUUAUGCACCAUUGGAUGAGCCUGCACUUGAUUAGUUUGUUGGUGGGGUAAUGGCCUACCAAGACUUUGAUCAAUAGCUGAUUUGAGAGGAUGAUCAGCCACAUUGGGACUGAGACACGGCCCAAACUCCUACGGGAGGCAGCAGUGGGGAAUCUUGCACAAUGGAGGAAACUCUGAUGCAGCGAUGCCGCGUGAGUGAAGAAGGCCUUUGGGUUGUAAAGCUCUUUCGUCGGGGAAGAAAAUGACUGUACCCGAAUAAGAAGGUCCGGC
rnacentral:rRNA from 1 species